GCCGGGCACAGUGGCACAUGCCUGUAAUUCUAGCAGCUUGGGAGGCUGAGGCAGGAGCAUCACCGGUUCAAAGCCAGUCUCAGCAACAGUGAGUCACCAAGCACCUCAGUGAGACCCUGUCUCUA
rnacentral:sRNA from 1 species